rnacentral:rRNA from 1 species
AUGGACGCCCGAACACAACAGCGAGGCCAGCUUCAGUUCUCUGAAUCUUCAGUGAAGUGUCGUGAUUUGGAUGGAAUUGGAGACCGUGUCCUUCUCCAACAUAAGUCAAUUUCCAAUGUAAUCGAGUUCGAGUCUCUGUUCUUCUCGAAGGCAAAAGCAUGUAGUGCCCGACCCGGAUUGGACUUGGCUGUCAUAAGGAGGGUUCCUCGACCGGAACGUCCAUCAGGCCGCGUCCCUCGACCAGAAUCUCCAUCAAAUCCCAUCACAUUGCAACUUUCAGAGGAACAUCCAAUGUCGCUGGCAGAGGAAAAUCAUCCGUCCAGCGGUACUAUGCUGAGUUCGCCGACGGAAGAACACCCGUCGAGCCCUCCAUCGCCUGAGGCGGCUACAACAGAGUGA